AACUCUCUCUUCUCCAUUCCUUGGUCAAUGAAUAAAGUUUCUGCUCUGCUAUACCAAACUCCGUUUCCUUUGAUUGGCAUUUACAACUCCAGGCAAAGGACCCAAAUUAAAGGAUCAUUGAUCCAUCAGGGAUUGGUAAAGAGGGUGCUUAGGCCAUUCUGAAACCAACCAAGAAGGAAGCUUGGAGGACAGGACACUUGACUCAGACCUGAGGGUCUCAGUGUUGUGGCCAAGGUUGAGGCCUACUCAAGAGAGGGCUCAGAAGUGCCUGGCUGAAAUGUAGUCCAGAAGAGAAACUUCGUCAAAACUCAUGUGAAAGUGACAGUGAAAAUACUGCCCAAGAUAUUGUACUGAGAC
ensembl:lncRNA